AAAAAAAAAUUUUAAUUGAUUUGGAAUUUUUGCGAUUGUAGUUAACCUGUAUCUAUAGAAGAAAAAUCUUUCUGCAAGAAUUCUGUAAUGUUCUGCAACAAGAUCGACAUGUCUCUGCAAUUCUGCCACUGGGAAAUUGGUCGUUGUUAGAGGUACCACCAUAGUUCUUCUGUACCUGCUUUUAGGUAAACUUGUUUACCUUCACUAGCUGCUGCUCCUGUUUCAAAUCCAAGCCUGUUGAGUGGAAUGUUGCAAAUUUCUGAUUUAUCACAAUCAUUUGUUAUCAGAGUAUUCCCCCCGAACUCCGUGUGUGUUAGGUGCACUAUCAAUGAAGAGACAAUGAUCUAUUUAAAUCAAGGAUGUAACAAGUACUACUAUACUGAAUGAAUUAUGUAAUUAUGAAUUAUGAAUUACUGUAAUGAAUUAUUGGAAAUUUAGUAUCCUGCUGCCAAAGUUCUAUUGAGCUAGCUGAGCUACAAGAUCUAGAAGUUACUAGUGGAACUACAUCUGUUCAACGGAAACAAGGAGUCAAACCCACAGCUGCUGCUCCAUCAUCAUUUUUGCUUACCUGCUGUUUCAGCUAUGUUAAAAAUUUAUGUGAUUGUGUGGAUCUGGUCUUGAUCUUUCUCUUUCUAAUCCACAUUGAUAAUUUCGAUGACUUUUGCACUGUAUGGUAAUAGUCUUUUGCAUUAAAAUGUUUGUUAGGAUUUAAAAUGCUUUGUUUAAAGAGGUGGUUACUCUGUAGUUGUUACACUCUUAAAUUUAUCUCUUUUUUAUGUCUUGGACGCAUGGCCCCAUACUCUCAUUCAAUGGGCAUUUGUUUCAGUGUCUUGACACAGACUUUAAUUAUUUGUGUUCUAUAAACAAACAUAAUUUUUAGUUUUUUACUCUCCAAUGAUAAUGGAAGAGCAGUAACUGUUAUGGUACCAGAAUGACAUAUGAAAGUAAAAGCAGCUUAAAUAUUAGAUUUAUCUUUCACUAUAAAACAAUUUAUUUUUAAAGACAAUUUAAAUUUUUUUAAUAAAACAUUUGCAUCACAUUCAUUAUUUCAAAUGUAUCAUAUAUCAUGUCCUAGAUAUAAUUUGAAAUGUUCACCACGUUCAUGCAGCAAAUUUUGCAUAAAAUUUUAUUUUUAAGAAAUUCUUGUUUGUCUAACUCUUAAUGAGGGUAAAACAUUCCUACCAGAUCUAGUAUUAAAACUAGUUUAUUGUUUCUCAUUAUUAUUUCCUGGAUAAUAAAUCCUAUCUACCAGAGAUUAUCAUAUACCAUUGCAUGUCAUGUUGUAACCUUCAUCACAUUGGUAUUAAAUUGGUAUUAGAAUUUUAUGGGUUUCCUUUGGCGUAAAUUGAAUUGUUUGCUCAUGAAAAUGCACUGUUCUGUUAUUGCAUAUGGAAAACAAUUCAAAUACCUGAGCACAUUCAUAUGUAAUCUGCAUAGAUCUUUCUCUUUUGUUUCAUUAAAUUCCUUCUUUCUCUAUCCAAGUUGAUAGCAACUAUUGUAAUCAAUAACAAAGCUACAUAGUCAGUUUCUAAUGGUUUACAUUUUGUAAUUAAUAGAGAAUAACUAUUUUCAUAUCAAGACAAUUAACUUAUUUUAUGACCGUUACAUCCAAGAAUAAAGUUACAUCAAAGAAUUUUUUAAACCAUAUAUAAAAACUAGUGCUUUAAAGUGGCUUUUAAAUUACAUUUACAGUUUUCUAAUGAAGCAAAAUCAAUAUUAUUUAUUCUGUUAGUCUUUACAUUAUAUAAUCAAUUGUUCUUUUACUCAAAAGAAAAAAAAUAAUUGAGAAUAACAUAAAAAUUUACUUAAAAAAAUUUACUUUACAAUAACUAAACAA